CCUCCGAAUUCACGGAGGCAGUUUUAGGUUUAAUUUAUGUGCUAGGUUAGCUGUACAUGUGCAAAGAUCGCCACCUAUAAAAUUUGAUACAUUCAUCUACACACAACCCUAGUUUUGAACACAUGGGAAAAAGGAGGGAAUGAGCCGGUAGCCUGCCACGUGGUAUGAAGUGCGACAGCCCAUUCUACGGAAUUGUUUUCUUCCCCAAUAUGGCCCAUCACCUUCCUCUUCUUCGUUCGCAUUCAGCGCAAGGAAAAGGCACCCUAAACUGGCAUUCUUUCUUGUUUUUUCAAUAAACAUAGCUGGUGGCAAUCCUCAUUCCACCCCCAAAAAUAGCAGGUAAAAAUGCCUAUUAAACUCCUGUUUUGCGUAGCCCUACCGAGUUUUACCAGCAGCAGAAGCAUUUGUAGCAGCAGAUAUGGAGUGGGCAGAGAUUUUACAGCAGAAGAAAUGGAAGCAGCAGAUGCUCUGUUAAGGCUUUGUCGUUUGGGUUGCAUUUUUGUUCAGUGGGCAGUCAAAAAGAGGCUGUAGUGAUGCUGCAUUAUCUACCAAUCCAAAUUGGUGAACAAAAGUCCCUUGACGACGCUUGGUUUAUCUUGGAGUGCAAGUGAUGAAUUUUAUGAGAGGGUAGGUGGGUUAGACCUGUCGUCAAAGAGACCUAUGGAAGGGCUAUUCUGUACUGCAUUAAAAUUUCAGAUGUCAAAUUUGAUGUGUGCAAAACAUUUCAGAGCUCUAUGAUUAGAAUCUAUAAAUACAAGUGGAUUAGUCAAACGCAGGCUUUAGAUUUUGGGCAUUGUAGAUAAAGAAGAGAUGGCCAUGCAUGGUUAUGAUUGGAGUGAGCACCAGCAGAGUGACUCAUGAUGAUCAAUUGUCAUCUUAUUGGAGUGAGCAUCAGCAGAGUGAUUCAUGAUGGUCAACUAUAGAUUGAUCAUCUUUGAUUGGAGACAGCACCAGGAGGGUGACACAUGAUGGUCACCUGUAGGUAGAUUGCAGAGUGACUGCAGCAAUGAUUGGAGAGUGCGGAUUCACCGUUUUUGGGAGAUGGCUAGGGAGAGGCCCUAAGUGCUGCAACACAUAUUUUGAAGAAUUUCUUCAAAAUGUUCAUUAUGAGGGAGAGAGGAUAGAAUAAUGACCUUUUUUCCAAAUUAAAAAUUAAUGACCUUUUUGCUAAUGUUCAUUAUGGGAGAGAAUGAAGGAUAAUAAACAUUAAUUUAUGCAAUUAGUUAGUUGCUAAGUUACCAGUUCCUGUUCCGAUCAUAAAUGUAAUAUCAUAUUCAUAAUUUGAAAAAAAGAUAAUAUUCAAGUUUCAAGUUUCAACUGAUUCAAGUUUCAAAAUGUUAAAAUAAGAUUAAAAAAAUUGUUUCUUAAUUGUUUUUCUUUGUUAUCUAACCCGUGGGCCCCGUUUUUGGGAACCCACGGGCUUGGGUUCACCCAGUGCCCACAGGGAACCCAGCCGCCGGGCAGGACCCUUUCGGCAAGAACUGGUAAUUGAGGUUAGUUGUUUAUGGGUAGUUAUAGGUUUUAAUUAUAUUAAAAUAAAUCUAUAUAUACAACAAUAGAUUUUAAUUGAGGUUAGUUGUUUAUGGGUAGUUAUAGGUUUUAAUUAUAUUAAAAUAAAUCUAUAUAUACAACAAUAGAUUUUAAGAAUGCAAUAGAAUAAUUUUAAGGUUGAUAUAUCCUCUAUUAUGCAUUAUGCGGAUGUUUUAGUUUUAUUACUGUUUUUAUAUCCCUUCUUGUAAAAUGUCUAAAAAACAUUGGGUUUGUAUCUGGCUUGAGGCCCUCAUCAAAAGCAGAUGCUAAAGAAUGCCAUUAAUGGCUAACACUGCAAAUAUGUUUCUUGAGUUCCACUGCAAUUUAUUACUUAAGAGUUUUACUGCCAGGUAUAAUCGGUUUAAGACAUUUAUGUGGGUCCAUGUAUCCCGCUGUAUUAUGUAUGGAUUCUUAUUGUUGUUUGAAAUUAUUUCUAAGGCUAACGAGGAGGGUAAACCUAGAGCUAGUUACUUAGUCCUCCAGAAGCAUUUUCUCUACCAUACAUCAGAUGAAGAAGCAGAUAUGAGCUGAUAGACAUGAAUAUGUAAAAGGAAAGAUUUGAGUCAAACAAUAUGAAUCUAGAGCUGUUCUCUGCAAAUCUUCUCUUCCUAUCUAAUUCAAGGAAAGUGACAAGUUCCAUAGGGAAGGAAGAGACCAAAGCAUUCUUACGUGUAGAAUGGGAAGGCAACCUGUAAGUUUAGCCUUGACUAACAGCAGGCGAGAAAGAAAAUGCAAAUUUUCAAGGAGGUGGCUCAAGUGCAUCAGCACUAAUGGGAAGCUGUGGGGAUGUGAAAAAGAUCCAGAACAAGGUGGAAAUAGCUGUCCAGUUUUUAGGAUGCACAAAUGUAUAAGUUACUCUCAUACAUCAUAAGGUGGAUCGUAGGGGCUGGAUAGCCACUUCCGAACAAGACAUCAAAGCAAAAAGAUACAACAGAACA